AUUGAACGCUGGCGGCAGGCUUAACACAUGCAAGUCGAGCGGAGCGAGGGUGCUUGCACCUUAGCUUAGCGGCGGACGGGUGAGUAAUGCUUAGGAAUCUGCCUAUUAGUGGGGGACAACAUUCCGAAAGGAAUGCUAAUACCGCAUACGCCCUACGGGGGAAAGCAGGGGAUCUUCGGACCUUGCGCUAAUAGAUGAGCCUAGGUCGGAUUAGCUAGUUGGUGGGGUAAAGGCCUACCAAGGCGUCGAUCUGUAGCGGGUCUGAGAGGAUGAUCCGCCACACUGGGACUGAGGCACGGCCCAGACUCCUACGGGAGGCAGCAGUGGGGAAUAUUGGACAAUGGGCGGAAGCCUGAUCCAGCCAUGCCGCGUGUGUGAAGAAGGCCUUUUGGUUGUAAAGCACUUUAAGCGAGGAGGAGGCUACUUAGAUUAAUACUCUGGGAUAGUGGACGUUACUCGCAGAAUAAGCACCGGCUAACUCUGUGCCAGCCGCCGCCGUAA
rnacentral:rRNA from 1 species